rnacentral:rRNA from 1 species
GAUGCACGCUAGCUACAGGCUUAACACAUGCAAGUCGAGGGACCGGCGCACGGGUGAGUAACACGUAUCCAACCUGCCCUUUACUCGGGGAUAGCCUUUCGAAAGAAAGAUUAAUACCCGAUAUAAAGGAUGGGGAUGCGUUCCAUUAGGUUGUGGGGGAGGUAACGGCCAACAAAGCCUUGGAUGGAUAGGGGUUCUGAGAGGAAGGGACCCCAAAUUGGAACGGAGGCACGGUCGAAACUCCUACGGGAGGCAGCAGUGAGGAAUAGUGGGCAAUGGGCGCUAGCCUGAACCAGCCAAGUAGCGUGAAGGAUGAAGGCUUAUGGGUCGUAAAGUUCUUUUAUAUAAGAAUAGGUAUUAUAUGAAUAAGGAUCGGCUAACUCCGUGCCAGCAGCCGCGGUAAUUC